rnacentral:lncRNA from 1 species
UGACAAGGCAAGGGAGGGGCCCAAGAGGCCCCAGUCAAUGAGAAACAGAUCUGCCUGAGAAAUAAUAAUGAAUGAAAAGGCGCAGUGACAAAGCCUUGCCUCCGAGCUGGUUUGGCACACCCUCAGAUCUAAUGAUAUGUUCAGAAAGAAAAAUCCACAGGCAAGAUUUGGAAUCCUUUAAGCCAACUAGUCAUCCACAAAC